CUCUCUGUACCGUACGCCUGCCUUGAAGGCGCAGACUGCUUGAUGCUCGGUGACGUUCUCCACCGUGUGGUAGAGAGUUGUCCAACGCUGGACGAAGUCGCGCAGGGGCUCAUUCGGCUUGUGGACACAGUGCUGGAGCUCCACAAGGCCUGCAGGGCGUUUGCACGUCCCUUCGAAGGUCCUGAUGAAUACUCGGGCCAGAUCUGCCCAACUGUAAAUGCUCGAGGGGGCCAACUGGUUUAGCCACGCUCGCGCCGAGCCGUCGAGCAUCAGAGGGAGGUGCUUCAUAGCGACAUGGUCGUCCCCUCCUCCGAUCUGGACUGCCACUCGAUAGUCAUCCAGCCAUGUUUCCGGCUUGGACUCUCAUGUAAACUUACUGAUUCCCGCUGCCAAUC
rnacentral:lncRNA from 1 species